CCUCGACUUUUGAAGGGGUGUAUUUAUUAGAUAAAAAACCAAUGCCCUUCGGGGCUCUUUGGUGAUUCAUGAUAACUUAACGAAUCGCAUGGCCUUGCGCCGGCGAUGGUUCAUUCAAAUUUCUGCCCUAUCAACUUUCGAUGGUAGGAUAGUGGCCUACCAUGGUUUCAACGGGUAACGGGGAAUUAGGGUUCGAUUCCGGAGAGGGAGCCUGAGAAACGGCUACCACAUCCAAGGAAGGCAGCAGGCGCGCAAAUUACCCAAUCCCGACACGGGGAGGUAGUGACAAUAAAUACUGAUACAGGGCUCUUUUGGGUCUUGUAAUUGGAAUGAGUACAAUUUAAAUCCCUUAACGAGGAACAAUUGGAGGGCAAGUCUGGUGCCAGCAGCCGCGGUAAUUCCAGCUCCAAUAGCGUAUAUUAAAGUUGUUGCAGUUAAAAAGCUCGUAGUUGAACCUUGGGCCUGGCUGGCCGGUCCGCCUCACCGCGUGCACUGGUUCGGCCGGGCCUUUCCUUCUGGGAAGCCGCAUGCCCUUUACUGGGUGUGUUGGGGAACCAGGACUUUUACUUUGAAAAAAUUAGAGUGUUCAAAGCAGGCCUUUGCUCGAAUACAUUAGCAUGGAAUAAUAGAAUAGGACGUGCGGUCCUAUUUUGUUGGUUUCUAGGACCGCCGUAAUGAUUAAUAGGGAUAGUCGGGGGCAUCAGUAUUCAAUUGUCAGAGGUGAAAUU
rnacentral:rRNA from 1 species